GGGUCAGUAGGUUGGUCGUGCCACAGGUACGUACUGGUCUCACUGAUUCCUCCUUCCUGAAGAACCGUAAUGCCAUUAAUUUGGUGUUGCGGGGAAACAGGACUGUUACUUUGAAAAAAUUAGAGUGUUUAAAGCAAGCUAACGCUUGAAUACAUUAGCAUGGAAUAAUGAAAUAGGACGAUCGAUCCUAUUUUGUUGGUUUCUAGGAUUGACGUA
rnacentral:rRNA from 1 species